CUGAAGCAGAGCAUCAGCUGAGGAGUAUCAAUCCAAAAUGGAGAACGCUACUCUGCAGAUAGAGGUAACAACACAAGACUGAGAUUCCUUUCUCAUGCGGAGGACUGGGUUGCUGGGAAGCUAUUAGUUAUUAUUAGUUAUUAGUGCAGUGGAAGCUUUGAGAGACAGUCAUGCCCUGGAGAAAAAGUGAGGAUAUGGGGCAGGUGCAAAACCACAGGGCAGUGCAGGAGCAUGGGGCAGGUGCAAGAUGCUGGGUGCGGGUGUGUGCUGAGGGGAGAUUCCCGCUGGCCGCAGAGGCGGGAAAGAGGGGCUACGCCGUGAAGGAGCAGCCGCCAUCUUGUCCGGUGGUAAGGGGCUGUUCCCCAAUGAUGAAGACCUCUGUCUCCAGGUGCAAGCAUUUCUGAGGAAGAAGAGUGUUCUGGAUUGGUGAGAGCUGCCUGCCUCACACCCAGCAGAUGUGAACAGAGUCAUCAUCUUUGGAAGAAGGUGUCACGUUGCAAUCCAGAUCUACGAGGGGACCUGUCUUUGGUGGCAGUGAAUAAAAGUUAGCGGAGUGAUCAAUGGAUUUUUAAAUUCCAUUACGAAAUA